GCAGAGGUGAAAUCAUUGUCACUAGCAAAUAGAGGCAUGUUCUUCUAAGAAGAGAAGCAGAGAAAGCAAGGUUAUUCCUAGAGGAUUCAUCCAUCAUCUAGUGGUUCGCGCACUGUAGGAAACAGAGGGCAGCAAGUGGGCAGACACCUACUGUCUACUCCUUCCACCUGUACGGUGCUAGAUCCUGCUACCAGCUGAGGACUGUCUCCAGGAAUUACAUUUGGUUAGAAAAUCAUGUGUUGCUUCUGAAAUUUGAAGACUGAAUCUGCUCUUGUUGCUGCAGCAGUCGCACCUCCUCCAAUGAAACCAGGCUAAGCAUGGUAAGCAUACUGUCUUCAUAAGGCUCAGAAUCCGAAGAACUUUGCAGAAUUUGGUAAAUGGAACUACUACAUUGUCCUGUCUGCUUACAGCUCGUGUUUGAGUUCUUAAGAAUUUGAGUGAAAGCUGGAGACUUGCACUUACUCUCCACAUCCUUUGAAAACUAUUUUUGAGUAUGGCUCCUGGAAUCUGAAAGUUAUAUUUAUUCACUGAGUAAUAAUGGUAGUAGUGCCAAUAGCAAUAGGAAGUCCACAGUAAGAGUUCCGAAAUUAUAUAAAAAUAGUUGGGUUACAGCAAUAAAUAACAUCAUUUGUGCUUUUAAAAAAACAAAGUUCUAAUUCAAUUUGUAUUGGAAUGCUAAAUGAGGCAAUAUGCUGCUGUCAGCUAUGUCUGUACAUCACUCCGUGUAGUCAGGACUGUGUAUGUACCCUUAAGAGAAAACUUGGCCUUGUCUAUAGACGAGUGAGCAACUUCAGCCACCGCACUCAAGAGGAGCACGGUAUCAGGAACACUAUCAUAACGUACUGGAAUAACCUAAGCCAGUUUGGUCCAUGGUACUCUCAUGCAUCUAGGCUAG